rnacentral:rRNA from 1 species
GACGAACGCUGGCGGCGUGCUUAACACAUGCAAGUCGAACGGAAAGGCCCUGCUUUUGUGGGGUGCUCGAGUGGCGAACGGGUGAGUAACACGUGAGUAACCUGCCCUUGACUUUGGGAUAACUUCAGGAAACUGGGGCUAAUACCGGAUAGGAGCUCCUGCUGCAUGGUGGGGGUUGGAAAGUUUCGGCGGUUGGGGAUGGACUCGCGGCUUAUCAGCUUGUUGGUGGGGUAGUGGCUUACCAAGGCUUUGACGGGUAGCCGGCCUGAGAGGGUGACCGGCCACAUUGGGACUGAGAUACGGCCCAGACUCCUACGGGAGGCAGCAGUGGGGAAUAUUGCACAAUGGGCGGAAGCCUGAUGCAGCAACGCCGCGUUCGGGAUGACGGCCUGCGGGUUGUAAACCGCUUUCGCCUGUGACGAAGCGUGAGUGACGGUAAUGGGUAAAGAAGCACCGGCUAACUACGUG